rnacentral:lncRNA from 1 species
AUGACAAAAGAUACUUAUCCUUCAAUUAGUCAAUUAACUAUACUAAAAAGAACAUGUGAGAGUACCUUUGUCUUCCAGGAAGUUGCCAUUGCAACAUCCCUUGGAAUUAAAAUUCUAAAAAUUUCAAAGAGGUACAGAGAGACAGAGAUUGAUUCCACCAGAAGUAAACAAGAUUACGCCGGUGAUGAGCUAAGGGAUGGUGUGCUAGAAUCAGAGAGACUGAAAUUAAAUGCCAUUUUUCUGGCAGAUGGAAUAAAUGCCGUGAGUUUGCCCUGAAAGUCAAAUGGCACUGCAGCUGAGAUAGAGUUCAGACUGUCCCUUCAUCCUAUGUCAUUUGCAUUGUUGAUUUGUACCCUGCUCCUCAGGAGACAUGAAAGUAUGUAGCUGCUCACCUCUCUGUUCAGCUUUUAUAGAUUACUUUGGUGUUCAAAAUAAAUAUCAUUAUGCUGAAGAUCA